AUUGAACGCUGGCGGCAUGCCUUACACAUGCAAGUCGAACGGUAACGGGCCUUCGGGUGCCGACGAGUGGCGAACGGGUGAGUAAUGUAUCGGAACGUACCUUUCAGUGGGGGAUAACGUAGCGAAAGUUACGCUAAUACCGCAUAUUCUGGGAGCAGGAAAGCAGGGGAUAGCAAGACCGCGCGCGGAUUGAGCGGCCGAUAUCAGAUUAGCUAGUUGGUGAGGUAAAGGCUCACCAAGGCGACGAUCUGUAGCGGGUCUGAGAGGAUGAUCCGCCAAACUGGAACUGAGACACGGUCCAGACUCCUACGGGAGGCAGCAGUGGGGAAUUUUGGACAAUGGGGGCAACCCUGAUCCAGCCAUGCCGCGUGAGUGAAGAAGGCCUUCGGGUUGUAAAGCUCUUUCGGCCGGGAAGAAAUCGUAUGGGUUAAUACCCUGUGCGGAUGACGGUACCGGCAUAAGAAGCACCGGCUAACUACGUGCCAGCCGCCGCGGUAAAAC
rnacentral:rRNA from 1 species